rnacentral:sRNA from 2 species
UAUCUCUCCGUACGGGGAAGGAUGAGAAGCUUCGACUAAGGUUCGAUUCGAGCGAAAGCGAGAAAGCGUUGCCAACGGCAACGACCCGAAGGGCGAAGCGCGC